rnacentral:rRNA from 1 species
UACGGAGGAUGCAAGCGUUAUCCGGGAUUUACUGGGUUUAAAGGGUGCGCAGGCGGAACGACAAGUCAGUGGUGAAAUCUCCUGGCUCAACCAGGAAACUGCCAUUGAUACUAUCGUUCUUGAGUCCAGUUGAAGUAGGCGGAAUGUAGCAUGUAGCGGUGAAAUGCUUAGAUAUGCUACAGAACACCGAUAGCGAAGGCAGCUUACUAAAACUGAAACUGACGCUCAUGCACGAAAGCGUGGGGAGUCAAACA